rnacentral:rRNA from 1 species
UUCGGUACGAUCGGUGACAGGUGGUGCAUGGUUGUCGUCAGCUCGUGUCGUGAGAUGUUGGGUUAAGUCCCGCAACGAGCGCAACCCUCGCCACUAGUUGCCAGCAUUCGGUUGGGCACUCUAGAGGGACUGCCGGCGACAAGUCGGAGGAAGGUGGGGAUGACGUCAAAUCAUCAUGCCCCUUAUGACCUGGGCUACACACGUGCUACAAUGGGCGGUACAAAGGGCUGCGAACCCGCGAGGGGGAGCGAAUCCCAAAAAGCCGCUCUCAGUUCGGAUUGCAGGCUGCAACUCGCCUGCAUGAAGCCGGAAUCGCUAGUAAUCGCGGAUCAGCAUGCCGCGGUGAAUACGUUCCCGGGCCUU